GAUGAACGCUGGCGGCGUGCUUAACACAUGCAAGUCGAACGGGAAAUAUUUCAUUGAGACUUCGGUGGAUUUGAUCUAUUUCUAGUGGCGGACGGGUGAGUAACGCGUGGGUAACCUGCCUUAUACAGGGGGAUAACAGUCAGAAAUGGCUGCUAAUACCGCAUAAGCGCACAGAGCUGCAUGGCUCAGUGUGAAAAACUCCGGUGGUAUAAGAUGGACCCGCGUUGGAUUAGCUUGUUGGUGGGGUAACGGCUCACCAAGGCGACGAUCCAUAGCCGGCCUGAGAGGGUGAACGGCCACAUUGGGACUGAGACACGGCCCAGACUCCUACGGGAGGCAGCAGUGGGGAAUAUUGCACAAUGGGGGGAACCCUGAUGCAGCGACGCCGCGUGAAGGAAGAAGUAUCUCGGUAUGUAAACUUCUAUCAGCAGGGAAGAUAGUGACGGUACCUGACUAAGAAGCCCCGGCUAACUACGUGCCAGCAGCCGCGGUAAUACGUAGGGGGCAAGCGUUAUCCGGAUUUACUGGGUGUAAAGGGAGCGUAGACGGUGUGGCAAGUCUGAUGUGAAAGGCAUGGGCUCAACCUGUGGACUGCAUUGGAAACUGUCAUACUUGAGUGCCGGAGGGGUAAGCGGAAUUCCUAGUGUAGCGGUGAAAUGCGUAGAUAUUAGGAGGAACACCAGUGGCGAAGGCGGCUUACUGGACGGUAACUGACGUUGAGGCUCGAAAGCGUGGGGAGCAAACAAGAUUAGAUACCCUGGUAGUCCACGCCGUAAACGAU
rnacentral:rRNA from 1 species